rnacentral:lncRNA from 1 species
GGCCUUCCCUCCCGGUGCUCUUCACCCUUUACCAAAGAGACAAGCACUUGAAAAAAGCAACGGAGCCAGCACGGUCUUCAACCCCAGCGUCUUGCACUACCAGCAGGCUUUGACCAGUGCGCAGUUGCAGCAACACACGGCGUUCAUUCCCACAGUACCCAUGAUGCACAGCGCUACGUCCGCCACUGUCUCUGCAGCAACAACUCCUGCAACAAGUGUCCCCUUCGCAGCAACAGCCACAGCCAAUCAGAUAAUUCUGAAAUAAUCAACAGAAAUGGAAUGGAAUGCCAAGAAUCUGCAUUGAGAAUAACUAAACAUUGUUACUGUACAUACUAUCCCCUUUGCUCCUCAAUAGAAUUGCCACAAACUGCAUGCUAAAUUUAGUUCUUCCGGACAGACCGCAACCCUAAGGCUAGUUCUGCUAUGUCAUAUACGAGUAUUAAAUAUGGUAUGCUUAGUAUAUUCCAGCCUAAGAUAGUUAACUACCUGAGACCAGCUGCGAUGUUCAAAGACAUACAGGAUGAGGUUUUCUUUUACAGGGUUCUGAGCGUAGUUUCUGUCCCAGGAAUAUUGUCUUAUCUCCAUAACUAUAGCCGAUGCAGAAAGCCCACCCAGUAUACACAUUUCGACUCAGAAUACUUCAAAUUUAGCAAUAAGCAGUUAGCUUUAGUUUAAGUACCUAUUCCAAGGGCAGGUUCGAUUCUAAUUCCAAUCACCACCAUUUCAUUUCCUGACUGGAUCAUAAGGGUAUGAUUUCACUUCCUGAGGAGACGGACACUCGAAGCAGGAGACGGGAAGUGAAGUAAAACACGCACCUGCCUCGCAGGUCUAAAAUCUGAGUGGCAGUUCAAGCACAGUUGCCGGGGACACAUCAAGAGUGUGGGGUUCGCUUUGCCAGGAGAUGCCACACUGAAUCAUGGGAUUCUAGAAUAACAUUGCAUAGAUCGAAAAAAAAAAAAAAAAAAA